rnacentral:rRNA from 1 species
ACUCAAAGGAAUUGACGGGGGCCCGCACAAGCAGUGGAUUAUGUGGUUUAAUUCGAAGCAACGCGAAGAACCUUACCAGGGCUUGACAUCCAAGUGACGGCGCAGAGACGCGCCGGUGCCCUUCGGGGAAACUUGAGACAGGUGGUGCAUGGUUGUCGUCAGCUCGUGUCGUGAGAUGUUGGGUUAAGUCCCGCAACGAGCGCAACCCCUAUUGUUAGUUGCUACGCGAGAGCACUCUAGCGAGACUGCCGUUGACAAAACGGAGGAAGGCGGGGACGACGUCAAAUCAUCAUGCCCCUUAUGUCCUGGGCUACACACGUAAUACAAUGGCGCCCCAACAGAGGGAAGCGAGGCCGCGAGGCGGAGCAAAUCCCCAAAAGGCGCCCCAGUUCGGAUCGCAGGCUGCAACCCGCCUGCGUGAAGCCGGAAUUGCUAGUAAUCGCGGAUCAGCAAGCCGCGGUGAAUACGUUCCCGGGCCUUGCACACACCGCCCGU